AUGAUGUUUAACAUGAUUAUCAAGAGCCUCAAUUUGAGAGAAAUUGAGCUCACCAGUAGACAGUUUACAUGGGCCAACUCGCUACCUGUUCCGACUUAUGAAAAGUUGGAUAGGGUACUUGCUAGUGUGGAGUGGGAACAAAAAUAUCCGUUGGUGUCGGUUCAUGCGAUGCAAAGAGCGAUCUCGGAUCAUACACCACUCUUUUUAGAUUCGGGAGAGGCUACCCAUGUUGCAAACAAAAACAUCUUCUCCUUCGAGCAAAGAUGGUUUGAGCGAGAAGGAUUUAUGGAGAUGAUUGCACGCGAAUGGGCUAAGCCAGUUACGGGCAGGACACAUGUCGAGAGAUGGCAGAAUAAGAUUAGACACCUCCGACAAUUUCUGAGAGGAUGGGCCAGGAAUGAGAGUGGGAUUUAUAAGCAGAAAAAAGAACGUCUAACUCAACUCAUUGAGGCACUAGAUGUAAAGGCUGAAACCACUCUUCUUUCUGUUAAUGAGCAUCGAACCAAGUCUGAGGCUGAGCAAGGCCUACGUGCUCUCUUGAGAGAGGAGGAACUCAAGUGGGCGUUGCGUGCGAAAACGCUUAAGGUUGUCCAAGGGGACGACAACACACAGUUCUUCCAUAUGGUUGCAAAUGGUAAACAUAGGAAGAAGAAGAUCAUACAGCUUGAACAGGAUGAGGGAACAAUAGUGGGGCAUGAAAAUCUGAAAGCGUAUAUUUCCAACUAUUAUAAAAGCCUUUUUGGACCUCCGAAUACGUCCACGGUGUCUCUUGAUGAGUUUGUGAUUGAUGAUAUACCUCAAUUACAGGCAGCGGAGAACGAUGUUCUCUCUGCACCGUUUACUGGAAAAGAAGUUCAUCUGGCCAUAACUCAAAUGAAGCCGAAUAAAGCACCGGGACCAGAUGGGUUUCCAGCUGAAUUCUAUAAGAAAUGUUGGCAUAUCAUUAAAGAUGAUCUUAUGCCUAUGUUUCACGAUUUUUUCGAUGGCCAUUUGGAGUUGUUUCACCUCAACUUUGGUACGAUAACAUUAUUACCGAAGAAGAAUGAGGCGGUCUGGAUAGAACAAUUCCGACCCAUUUGCCUGCUGAAUGUGAGUUUUAAAAUCUUCACAAAGGUAGGAACCAAUAGAUUGACACAAAUUGCUCACUCAGUGGUUCAACCUAGUCAGACAGCUUUCAUGCCUGGACGACACAUACUCGAGGGAGUGGUUGUCUUACAUGAAACACUUCAUGAGAUUCACUCGAAGAAACUAGAUGGGGUUAUCUUAAAAGUGGAUUCCGAGAAGGCUUAUGAUAAAGUAAAAUGGCCUUUUCUUCAGCAGGCAAUGCGUAUGAAGGGUUUUAGUGAAACCUGGAGGCACCAGGUGGAUACUCAAGUCCAGAAAGGUAGUGUCGGAAUUAAGGUGAACGAUGACAUCGGUCACUACUUCCAGACGCAUAAGGGGUUGCGACAAGGGGAUUCCAUGUCACCUCUUCUGUUCAGUAUUGUGGCAGAUAUGUUGGUCGUCAUUAUUGGCAGGGCCAAGCAACAUAGCCAUGUAAAGGGUCUAGUUCCUCAUCUGGUUGAUGGAGGGGUGUCCAUUCUACAAUAUGCUGAUGACACUAUCCUUUUCAUAGAACAUGCCAUGGCUAAGGCACGUAACAUGAAACUUAUCUUAUUCUAUUCGAACAAUUGUCUGGAUUAA
rnacentral:rRNA from 1 species